UAGAGAGAGACAUGCGCGCAUAUCAAUAAGCGGAGGAAAAGAAACUAACUAAGGAUUCCCUCAGUAACGGCGAGUGAAGCGGGAAGAGCUCAAAUUUGAAAUCUUCAAGGUUUUACCUUGACGAAUUGUAGUUUAAAGAAGUGUUUUCUGCUGAAGUUUUGGUAAAAGUUCUUUGGAAUAGGACAUCAUAGAGGGUGAGAAUCCCGUAUUUGACCAUUAUUUUCAGCUUUGUGAUACACUUUCAAAGAGUCGGAUUGUUUGGGAAUGCAGUCCAAAAUGGGUGGUAAGUUUCAUCUAAAGCUAAAUAUUGGCGAGAGACCGAUAGCGAACAAGUACCGUGAGGGAAAGAUGAAAAGAACUUUGAAAAGAGAGUUAAACAGUACGUGAAAUUGUCAAAAGGGAAGCGCUUGACACCAGUGUUGUUUUCUCGAAAAUCAAUUAAAAAUGGCAUCGAUUUUGUAUUGUUGAGACCUUAAAAGCUCACUGUACAUUUUUCGUGUCUUUUUUAAUGCACUUUUCGUUUAACAAGUCAACAUCAGUUUCUUUUGUUGUAAAAGGGUCAUUGGAAGGUGGCUUUCUUUUCGGAGAAAGUGUUUAUAGCCUUUGGCCUCUGCAAUCGGAGAGACUGAGGUCUGCAGCGUAGACUCUUCGGGGUUAGAUACAUUUGUGCUAAGUUAUAGCUUUUUAUAGACAACUUGUUGACUAUAAUUAGUCUUGUAGCUUACUCGCUUAUGCUAUUUUACCUACGCUUAGGAUGUUGAAGAUGUAGCACAUCAU
rnacentral:rRNA from 1 species